AUGUCUGCAUGCUCUUCGUGAUUGUCCAAAGGUGGCUGCAUUUUGGAGAAGUGUGUUACCUAAGAAAUUAGCACCAAAGUUUUUUAAUGGUGAUGUGGCAGUGUGGCUGGAAACAAAUUUAUCUUUUUCAGAGGCGGCUUUUUUUUGGCCAACUUUUUUUGGGAUUGCAGUGGAACUGUUGUGGGAAUCCCGCAACGACCUUGUGUUCUAUAAAGAUGGCACUUGGGACUAUUUAGAUCUUAGUGAUAUCACAGAUAUUGUCUUUAAUCGCUAUAAAGAUUGUAUGAGAGCCCAUGCUUCUCACAUUUUGAUGCCGAGGAAUCUCUUGAAGUGGAGGAGGCCUUUGCCCCUUUCACAUGGGCAUUGGUUGUUGAGGCUAAAUGUGAGUGGUGCCUAUGAUCGCUCUUCAGAUACUGCUGCAUGCGGAGGUAUAUUCAGAGACAACAAUGAUAGAUUCGUGCUUGGGUUUUCGGUUAAGCUUGGGGAAUGUUUGUCAAAUGAUGAGGGUGAAAUAUGGGGUAUUUAUCAUGGUAUGAAGAUUGCAAGGAGGUAUGAUAUAUGGGGUUUAUAUCGUGAUAUUCUAAGGCAGCAUAGCAUUCCAAUAAGUGCUAAGAUUGCAAGGCAGCAUGAUUUUGGUAAAAUAAUAGUGGAAUCGGGCUCUGAGAAAGCUAUUGGGUUUGUGUUAGAUGGAUGCCCUACAUCUACAUCGCUGGAGCAUUGUUUCCCACUGUGUGAUGAGUUGAAAGCUCUAACCUCUGCUACAAAUCACUUAUACUUCGAUAACGAUUAUGCUGCUGAUUCCUUUGCCAAAUUCGGUUUAUCCAUGAAACGGCAGCCUGUGAAAAUUUUUCGUGUUUGUCCCCCUUUUUGCCAACCUUAUAUUUCAGAAUACAGAUAAAUGUUAAAUAAAUAAGUACCUCAAUAUAAUAUUCAUUUCUUACUUUUUUGUUUAGUUUUAGAUUUGUCCUUACAGGUUCUACUGUAUAAACAAUUGAAUUAUAUUUAUGUAAUUUACUUGUUGUAUAUUUUUUUAACAUUAUAUUUUUAUUUUAUUUUAUAAACAUUAGCAUAUGUGAAUUAAACGAACGUUUGCAAAUUUUAAUAAAAAAAUAUUUGAAUACUAACUAAUCUAAUUUUUUGUAUUUUAACAGACAGUAUAUAUCGUAAUCUCAAUUAUAGUCAAAUUAAACAUAAAGCCUUUUUGUAAAUAUAUGGUCUUUUAAAUAUUUGCAAAUUUUAAUAAUAUAUAUAUAUAUAUAUAUAUUUUAAUACUUACUAACUAAUUUAAUUUUUUGGUAUUUUAACAGGCAAUAUAUAUUUCAAUCUUAUAAACAAAUUAAACAAAACCUUUUAUAAAUAUAUAUAUAUAUAUAUAUAUGAUCUUUUAAAUGGAGACCUUACUUGAUACUAUAUAACUAAAAUUUGAUAGAGUUAAAGUGCGGGAAGUGAGUUAAACUAGUAUUCACAUAUAUUUAAAACUGUCUAACCCUUGCAGUAAAAAAAGAACGGUUUAACCCUUAAAGUUUAAAAAUGAGUAAUAGUUGGAAUAAAAACAAAACAUAUCAAAUAGAUUUAAAGUAUAUUUUAGUUUAUUUGAAUCUUCUUGUUUGUAUAUGUGAUGAAUCAUUUCAAAACCUAGUUUUAAUAAAAUAUAUUAAUGAUUAUUGACGUAAUCAUUAUAUAGAUAUGUCUAUUUUAGCCUAUUAACAACUUAUAUGAGCUUAUCUUAUAAUAUAAGUAAUAAAAUUGUUUGGAAGGGCUUAUAAAAUAGCUUAAUGGCUGAAUGCUGCAAUGGAAGAGCUAACGUUAAAUAAGUUUCAGCAUCAACUUUGCGUCUACCAUCUAUUUAAUUGACACUACAAGUUCAAAGCCAAGCGUAUAUUGUGUCCAACUUUUUGGUCGACGCUACAUAGCAAAUAAAGUAUGUAACUUUUUUUUUUUCUUAUCUCAGGUUGUAUUAUAACAUUUUCAUCCUAUUUUACAUUGUAAAACUGGUUGUUUUUCCCUUUGAGUCUCUAAAUGGUAGUUGAAGUUGUAUCAAAUGGAAUACCUUGGUGUUUGUCAAUUACAAAUGAGGGUUCAAACAAUUUUUAACAAGAAGUAAUACUAUAUUAUCAAUUUAAGUAUUCGUUUUUGGUAUUAAAAAAAAGAGAUAAAACACUAGUUUUUACAUAACUUCCCCCUCUCCCAAGGGCGGAUUCAUCAAGAUUUAAUUAUUAAAUUAAUAACUUAUCCAUGAAUUAUUUUCCUAUAAUAUAUAUGUUUCAAUUAAAAAAAUAAUAAAAUAAAUUAUAAUAUAAUAUUUUAAUUUCUAUUCAUACUUGAUGUCUAAUAUAUUAAUUAUAUGAUCAACCUACCUUUUACAAUAAAACAUUUAAACAUAAAAAAAGUUACAUUUAAAUUACUUUUAUCCAAAUUUACGUUAAAAAGUUGCAUUACGUUGAACUUUACAAAUUAUAAUCUAACAAUACAUUAUUUCACGGAUCUACGUCCAAUGACGUACAAUGAACACAUUACCAACUACAUUGGUUGUAAUCCAUGCUUAUUUGACCAUGCAAAUUUUGAAGUAAACAUGAACAAUCAAUUUGGUUAAAAAUCAAAUUAUAAAAUAAAGUAUUUGAUGUUUUUAAAUAAAUUUUAAUUUAAUUUUAUUGAUAUAUAUAUUAGGAUAUUUAUAAUUUUAGUUUUUUCAUUAAUUUUAAAAUCAUUCUAUUUUUCAAUUACAGAUCAAUUAUUUUAAUUAUAUUUUUUAGUUUCCAUUAUUAUAAUUUUUUUUUCAUAUUACGCAUUCUACUGUUAAUGUCAUAUUAUAUAUUAAAAUAUUCUCAAUUAUGUUUAAAAUAAAAUAAAUUAAUACUCAUAAAUAGAUAUUAUACUCUUGUUAUGUCAAUUAAUGUAAUAAUUAAAAUAUUUAAAGUGCAAUGUUAAAAUAAUAUAAUAAUAAUAUUGUACGACUCAACAAAUCUGUGAUGGAAACAAAUAUAAAUAAUGUUAAGAAAAAAACAUCUUAUCCAAAAAAGGGUAAUAAGAAGAUUAAUUAAAUAUUUUAAGGGUAAGAAGGAAAUAAAUAUAAAAAGAUAAAAAUUGUCAUUUUGAAAAAUUGUCAUGAGGCAGCGUUUCAAAUUAUUUUUUUUGAAACUAUUAAAAAUACAUGUUUGUCAAAAACUGUUUAUAAAGUCAAGCAAAAUUUUCAGUUUGUUAAAAACAAAUCCAUAGUGUAUUAUCUAAAAAAUUGAACACAAUCUUAAUAACAAAUCCAAAUUAAUUAUCUUAAAAUUUCAAUUCUGAAAUAUUAUUGGUAAUCCAAAAAUGUAUUCCAAAAUACUUGUUUUGGAAUGUAACAUUCUGGAACAAGUAUAUUAGAAUAUAUUUCCAAAUCACCGAUCAUAGUUCAAGAAAAUGUGUUUUGCAAGUGAUUGGGUGUCUAAUGAGAUUAGGCUAAUCUUGUCCAUUUGGGUGUGUCCCUAUAAUUAGAUCAGGUCUAGGGUUCUGACUCAAAUGUGAAAGUGUAAUCUCCGUCUCCUUAGGUCAAGCGCUAAGUUAUGUACAUUUAACUACUGUAAUGGUUAUCCAAGUUACCAAACAUACCAUGAGGGGAUGCAUGAGGUAACUUGGAGCUCGGUCGGCCUACUUUCGGUGGGGUACAUGAUGAUUUUCACUUUUUUAUGGGGGGCAGGAAGCAAAAGCCUUCCUCCUUUCAACGCCCAUACCUAUAAAGGCCACAAAUUCAAUCAGAAACAGAGAGGACACCAUGGCCAACAACAACGAAGAGGAAGAGGAAGCAGUGGCGCCAAUGGUGAAGUUGGGUUCUUACGGUGCUGAGGUUCGGUUGCUGGUUGGUGGGGAGGAAUCCGCUGCUUUGGGGUAUUCAGCAGCCCACACUUUCCAAACCCAAUGCCUUCGUCUCUCAAGCUUCCUUGCAACUCUCCCUCGACUCUUGUGGCCACUCUCUCUCCAUUCUUCAAUCCCCUUCCUCAUUGGUAUAUAUCUCUCUCAAUGCUCUGGUUAAAGGUUAUUGAUUAAAGCUUUGAUUUUGAUCAUGUUUUGGGUUCUAACUUGAUGACCCGGUUUUGUUUUUUGCCCGAACGUCAUUACCCAUUUCAUAAAAUACCAUGAUGCUGUUUGUUUUUGCUUAAAGUUGUUAGCUUGCUAUGGCCCCUGUUUAUGACAUGUGUUAUUGAAGAUCUGAAUUUUGAGAAAAUGAACAAUUUAACUUGUUUUUGAGUAAUCAUUAAUAUAUAUAUAUAUAGUGUCUGGAGUGUCUUGGAUGCUGUACACUUGUUUUAUAGGAGCGGAUCUUAACUAAAAGAAUAAACUAACUUAAAUUAGUGACUAACUGUAAUGUUUGUUGCUGUGUUUUAUUUGUUUGUGCAUGUUUUGGUGGUCGAGGGAUAGAGGCGUGUGAUUCGUGCUUGUUUUUUUUCUUAUUACUUAUGUGUAAUGGUUCUGUUGACAUGGAUAAUUCACAUUAGUGCUCAAAUGACUUCUGCUCUAGCUUGUGCCUCUUCUAAUGGUUGGUUUUUAGUUUUAAACAGUUUUGACAUUUUGGACUUUUGUUUUAAGGGAACGCCUGGAGUAACUGGAGCAGUGAUGUGGGACAGUGGAGUUGUACUGGGAAAGUUUCUAGAACAUGCUGUUAACUCAGGGAUGCUUGUCCUUCAGGGAAAGAAGAUUGUUGAAUUGGGUUCUGGUUGUGGAUUGGUUGGGUAAGUUCAAUUGCUAUCUCAUUCUAUUUGACCUGUUAAUGCUAAAUAGCUAUAAUUGGUUCAUCAUUUCUUGAUUAGCUUGUCUUUUUGCACAUGGAUUUAAUGAACUAGGAAGAUAGAGCUUUGAGCUUUUGCAUUGUUUUUUUACGACCAAGAGACAGUUUGAACCAAAGGUUAAAAUAUAAUGAAUUAAGGAGUUAAUAACAAUCAAAUUUCUCCUACCACAUGUUAAAAUCUACUUUUCCACCUAUAUUUUUCUAUGAACUCUCAUCUUUCUACUCCAUUUGUUGUGUAAAAGUUGAUUUUAUCUUAUGGGAGAAGUUUGAUUCAUUCUACCUCCUUAAUUCUUCUUAUUUUCUUUUUCUUAACGUGUUUGUUCAAAAUUUUAUCCAAACUAGCUCUAAGUUGUCUAACAAAUGAUGAGGAAUUAUUUUUAAGUUUGUUCUUACUCAUUCUAUGAUACACCUUUCUUAUUUUUUCUUCCUUAGUUGCAUUGCAGCCCUUUUGGGUAGUGAGGUCAUUGUCACUGAUCUGCCAGAUAGGCUGAGGCUACUAAGAAAGAACAUUGAGACCAACAUGAAACAUGUUUCUCUACGGGGUUCUGUAACAGCAACUGAGCUCACAUGGGGAGAAGAUCCUGACCCAGAACUCAUUGACCCCACACCCGAUUUUGGUAUAAUAAUUCUCUCCCUCAACUCCUUCAAGUGAAAGGAGCAAACAACAUUCAAUUACUGACAUCAGAAACUUUUGACGUUUUGCUGUGAAUUGUGAUUAUUGUCAUCAUUCUAAUCAUAGCUUUGUAGUUAAUUGUAUCUUUUUCUUCCUUUGACUUGCAUGCCUUGUCAAAUAUUUGAAUUACCUGCAUCUCAUAUGAUAUUUUGCUAGCAUUCCUUAUUGAUUCAAUACUUGACUUCUUGUUUUCAGUGAUAGGAUCUGAUGUAGUGUACAGUGAGGGGGGGCAGUUGUGGAUCUGCUAGAGACACUUAUGCAGCUCUCUGGACCUAAUACAACAAUAUUUUUGGCUGGAGAACUCCGAAAUGGUAAAGAAUACCAUUCCUUUUUCUUUUCUUUUCUUUUGGGAGCACAAUUUAUAGCAUACUUCUGAGUAGUGUUUUCUGAUUUCAGAUGCCAUUCUUGAGUACUUCUUAGAAGCUGCAAUGGAUAAUUUCACUAUUGGCCGCGUGGAACAAACGCUCUGGCACCCUGAUUAUUGUAGCAAUCGUGUUGUUCUUUAUGUUCUAGUGAAGAAAUGAUUGUUGAGAAUAUGAUGUUUAGUUGGCUUCUGUAACUCUAGGAACAUGAUGUCCAUAUUGUGCAUCAAGAAUUUAACCAUAUUUUCUAUGUUAGCCCUCAAGUAUUUUGUUAUUUUCUGUCCUUGUGAGUUUGGUUUGGUUUGAUGAGUUCCAAACAAAAGUUUGCCAUAUUGUGACAUUUUAAUGGGACGGAAUGCUGAAGAUUUAGCUGGGAAUUGGAACUCUGUACACCAAGACUUAGCUAAGAUGUGUUAAUGUCUUUUAAGGAUGCGUUUGAAAACCAAUAUUUAAACAAUGCACUUACCGCCUCUCUUUUUUUUUUUUUUUUUUUUGUAUUUGAUAAUAGAAAAAUGUUAACUCGUGAGAGCACUGUAUAAAGAAAUGUCGAAAAUACUUUAUGCAAAAGUAUUUAUUAUAUUAAAAAUAUAUUGCAUUUAGUUUAUGUAGUUAAAUCAUAAAAGAAUAAAAAAAGCUGUUUUUUAGGGAUUUGUACCCAAAAAAAUUUAAUCAUACCUCUUUUUGGCCCCUGUUGCUUUAACAAAAUUCUAAGCAAAAUAACACCAAGGGAUAUGCUCAUAUGCCAGAAUAUGGAAAAACUUCAUCCAACUUGAAUAAAUUUCGCAAACUUUUUAUUUAUUUAUUAUUGCUAAAUUUUCCUAAUGAUAUUUUUAUUUUAUUUUGAAGAAUUAUUAACAAUUACACUAUUAAUUGUUAGGCAACUAGUAUUUUUUUUAAUAGAUGUCUUGAAGGCACAGUAAAAAAAAAAAAGCUUCCGCCUUCCUUGGUCAUAAUUAAACUCACAUACGUCCAAACAAUUUUGAAAUACCAAUUUUCUCAAAAAAAAAAAAUUUAUAAUUUGUCCUUGUUUUUAAAUAAAAUCAUUAAAUACUUUCCUAAAUUUUAUUAGUUUGAAUCAAAACUUGAAAAUUCUCAGUAGCCACAUAAUUACUACAACAUUCAUAAUCCUACUAAAAUAUACCAACUAAUUCCGUGUCUUAGACAAUGCAUGCCCAUCAACAUUUGAUGUUUAAUGUGAUUGAUUAUUGUCUUACUGAUAAAUCUUGAAUUAAAUGUUGCGUUCUCAAGAGUAUGCCUCCUGUUCUUUUAUAAAAGCUAACGAUGGCUGGUGGUGUGGUCGAUUAGUCUACUAAUGAAUAUUUCUUUGUCAUGAUUUCUGUUAAAAAUUUAUGAAUUGAUGGAGUUAAGCGUUUAACGCCUGGUGCUUUUUUGCAGGCCAUAUUUCCUCGAAUAUUUGGCCAUGAAGCAUCAGGGUAAUCUACUCUUAAUUUCUACGUUUGGAUUAAGACAACAUCGAGUCACUAGGGAUCCUUAGGUUAUUUUUGUUGAAUUUCAUAAGAAUUUUUAUUGUAUUUUUAAGAGUUACCCGAUUGGGUAGUAUGAGAAUUUGAUCAAAUACUGAUAUGCCAAGUUGAGUUAGAGUGACAAUAAUCAGCUGAGAGUGAAGUAUUAGGGAAUAGAUUAUUAGCUGUGGGGUUGCUGCAGGUAAAUGUUUCAGCUGUUUAUUAUUAGUUCUAAAAUUAGGGAAUAGAUUAAUGGAGUUUCUGUAAUCAACAUUGUAAACUUAAAACCCUGUACUUAAAUUACUUGAAAUAGUAACAGGUUAAUAGCCCUUAAGCUGUCUGAUUCUUUUUUCUUGUUAUUUCCUAUAAAUGGUUAGAGGAGGCAUGACUUCUGUCCCUGUGUUCAUCAGCUUGAAUGUCAAAGGAACAGUAUGGCCUUGGAAGAUAAACAAAGGCAAAGGUUUUUUUAGUUUGAACCAGAAUGUUUGAUUUUGUGAAAUUAAAAAGUUUAAUUUCUUUUUAAAAAAUAUUUUGAUCAUACAAGACUAAAUUACAAGAUAUAAAAAAUUAUCAUUAAAUUUUAAAAUAACAAUAUAAUAAUACAACUUAAUUCCUAUUAGUUGAAAAAAUAACAGUAUCAAUACUUCUAAAUUAACAUGGAUAUGGUGGAAACUUUUUUAAUUUUUAACCCAUAAAAAAAUGUAUUUAAAAUAGCGUGUCAGAUAAUAUCUUCCAAACAUUUCUGGCUAAUCCAAUACUUGCUUAUGUUUAUAACUAAUUUUUGACAGAAAAAAAAAAUCAUUAGAGUCAAUACCUACCGCUCGUAAAGAAAAGUUGCAACAAAAGGCUGAAAGUAUUUAAAUUGUCUUUGAUGAAUUAUAAAUGCCUUAUAAUUUGUUGUAUGAUGGAUACAUAUAAGCUUAAAUUAGAAGAUAAUCCAAAUUAAGACCUUGCAAAUAAUAUAAAAUAUUUAUACAUUUUAAAAAAAUAAAAAUAGAACUCAAUAAAUAAAAAGUAAGUCCUACUACUUUUAUAAUUUUUUUGAUAAAUUUUAGUUAGUAAAAAUGUGUUUAUAAUUUUAGUUAAUCAUGCUUCUUCCUCCAGUGUCUUCUCUCUUGUCAUCACUUAUCAGACAUCUACCAAGCUUCUCACUACGGUGAACUCAGUCAAGCUCAGACAUGCUGUCCCCACAAGAAGUUGAGAUGCAAUGAAGAGGCAGAUGAACACAAGAGGGUGAGCGAAGGGUAAGACGGAGAGGGAAAAAGGGUAAGACGGAGAUAUUUUAUUUUUUCUGUGGUGCAUCAAACAAAAAAAGACAAGCAAUUGCCAAUACAAUUAACAUAACAACACAUGACCUUAUUUCAUUGUCCCAACACACCCAAAAAGCUAAUGACUUGUGGGUGUGUGUAGGUCUAUUACUAAUGUUUUUUGUUAUAAGUCAAACAUAUAAGAUAAAAAAUUAAUUUCCAAAAAAUUCAUCCGCUUAAUGUAUGGUAUGUCUAUUAAUUUCGAGAAAUGCUAUAACCACCUAAAAGAAUACCAGAAAAAUUGGCUGUCCCCAUGCAACUAACUAUUAAUUAAUUUCUACUUUUUAAAAUGUUUUUCAGAUUAGAGAAUAAAUAAUUAAAUAAAGAUAUAUAUAAAAAUAACUAAUGCAUCUAUAAAUUAAUUAUGGAUCCUUUUGUUCAUAUAGUUGGUUGGUCCAAUAAAUAGUUAGUUGGUGCAAUAAAGGAUACACCCGUGUUCACUUUACUCCUGCACCUUCAUAUUUGAACGAGUCAAAGUUUCAUGGAUCCAAUUCAAAAGCCAUCCACAAUCAUACUAAGUUUCCAGUUUUCUUCUAGGAAGUUUCGUUGGAAAAAAUGAACCAUAAUUACCCAGCAAAUAUAAGAUCGAUUAAAUGAUUCAAAAAAAUAAUUACGGAUUCACAUACUCUUUAGGAUAAAAAAAUCUAACAAAUUUUUUGAAGUUCUUGAAUAAAACUUAUCAGCUUACUUUUUAGUUAACAUUCACCAGUAUUUUAUUUAUCGCUAACAAUUAACUUUUUUGGGGAUGUACCAUUAUCAAUAGUCAAUUAUUCUUAAUAUGGUGACAAUUAUAAAAAUUGACUGUAUACUUUAUUAAUUUGUAAUGAUUAUUACAAAUAAAAAGUAUUUUUUGUAAGAGUUUAAAUAGUGCGGUGUAGAACGUAUGCCACGGGUUAUGCACAGCCAAAGGUUUUAACUUCUAAGAAAGAGAGACGAAACAGAGAGAGAUUUUCCAUAAAGUUGAUAUGUCCAUGAAAAUCUAAUAAUAUAUAUGUUUGGUUCUGAGUGUAAUUAACACUUAUCAGUUUCAUACCUACUCAAGUUUGAUUUUGGAGACCCAACAAGCAGCCAUCCAAAUUCAUACUAAGAUUUCAUAUCAUGGCUUGGGGAUCACGUUCCUCUUCCUCUUCCUCCAAUUACGAUGUGUUCCUCAGCUUCAGGGGUGAAGACACACGUAGUGCUUUUACUGGCCAUCUCUACAACACUCUUCAGAGCAAGGGAAUCCACACUUUCAUUGAUGAUGAGAAGCUUCAAAGAGGGGAGCAAAUAACACCAGCACUUAUGAAGGCAAUUGAAGAUUCCAGAGUUGCCAUCACUGUGCUCUCUGAACACUAUGCUUCUUCCUCGUUUUGUUUAGAUGAACUUGCAACCAUCCUUCACUGUGACCAGAGGAAACGGUUGUUGGUUAUACCGGUCUUUUAUAAGGUGGAUCCUUCUGAUGUGAGACACCAGAAAGGUAGUUAUGGAGAAGCAUUGGCAAAGCUUGAGAGGAGGUUCCAGCAUGACCCGGAGAAGUUGCAGAACUGGAAGAUGGCUCUGCAGCGAGUAGCUGACUUGUCUGGCUAUCAUUUCAAAGAAGGGUAUGACACCAUACUAAUCUUCUUACUUUACAGUUUUUGUUGGAUUAUCUUUUACUUGUCUGAUUAUUUGACAUUAAAUCUAAAGGGAAAAUAAAUGCUUGUUGACCUUGACAAUAUACGCAUACCAGGACAUGGAUAAAUGCAAGGCUUUUAGUUUAGCUUGUUAAAACUUGUUUUGUUUGAAACAGAGAAGGAUAUGAAUACAAGUUUAUUGAGAAGAUUGUUGAGGAGGUCUCUAGGGUGAUUAAUCUUUGUCCUUUACAUGUUGCGGAUUACCCAGUUGGACUAAAGUCACGAGUGUUACAUGUAAGGAGACUUUUGCAUGCUGGAUCUGAUCAUGGUGUCCACAUGAUAGGGAUUCAUGGAAUGGGCGGGGUAGGAAAAUCAACACUUGCUCGAGCUGUCUAUAAUGAAUUGAUAAUUGCUGAGAAGUUUGAUGGUUUGUGUUUUCUUGCAAAUGUGAGGGAAAACUCAAACAAACACGGGUUAGAACACCUCCAAGGAAAGCUGCUUUUAGAAAUACUCGGAGAGAAGAGCAUCAGCUUAACAAGUAAGCAACAAGGAAUUUCAAUCAUACAGUCUAGGCUCAAGGGAAAGAAGGUUCUCUUGAUUAUAGAUGAUGUUGACACACACGACCAAUUGCAAGCAAUUGCUGGAAGACCUGAUUGGUUUGGUCGCGGCAGCAAAAUCAUCAUCACAACUCGGGACAAACAAUUGCUAGCAUCUCAUGAAGUUAAUAAAACAUAUGAAAUGAAGGAAUUGGAUGAGAACCAUGCUCUUCAGUUGCUUACAUGGCAAGCUUUUAAAAAAGAAAAAGCUGAUCCAACUUACGUGGAGGUCUUGCAUCGCGUAGUAACUUAUGCUUCUGGUCUUCCAUUGGCGUUGGAAGUAAUAGGUUCCCACUUGGUUGGAAAAAGUAUACAAGAAUGGGAAUCUGCCAUCAAACAAUAUAAAAGAAUUGCCAAGAAGGAAAUUCUAGAUAUACUUAAAGUAAGCUUUGAUGCUUUGGAGGAAGAAGAGAAGAAAGUUUUUCUUGACAUUGCUUGUUGUUUCAAAGGAUGGAAAUUGACAGAGCUUGAACAUGUUUAUGAUGACUGCAUGAAAAAUCAUAUUGGGGUGUUGGUUGAAAAAUCUCUAAUAGAGGUUAGAUGGUGGGAUGAUGCAGUUAACAUGCAUGACUUGAUUCAGGACAUGGGCAGGCGAAUAGACCAACAAGAAUCCUCAAAAGAGCCCAGGAAGCGAAGGAGAUUAUGGUUAACAAAGGAUAUAAUUCAAGUUUUAGAAGAGAACUCGGUAAGUGAGAGUAUGGUCUCUUAUCUUGAUCGUUUUUUUUAUCUUAUCUUUACAUCAUAGUCAAGUUUUUUCAUGACAAUUUGUAAAUUUCUUUAAACAGCAGGUGAAUUGAUGUCUUACAUAUAACUUGUAUUGUGGUUGAUUCGUACAUUUUUUUGCAUUAACAGGGAACGAGUGAAAUUGAAAUCAUAUCUCUGGAUUUAUCCUUAUCCGAGAAAGAAACAACAAUAGAAUGGAAUGGAAACGCCUUCAGAAAGAUGAAAAACCUUAAAAUACUUAUUAUUAGAAAUGGUAAAUUUUCCAAAGGUCCCAAUUAUAUUCCAGAAAGUUUAAGAGUACUGGAAUGGCACGGGUAUCCUUCUAGUUGUUUACCAUCUAAUUUUCAUCCGAAGGAACUUGCCAUAUGCAAGUUACCUCAAAGUUGCAUUACGUCAUUUGGGUUCCAAGGCUCAAUGAAGGCAAGUUUAAGGAGUAUAUUUUGUUCAUGUUGUUAAUUAAUAAAUUUACUUCAAACUUAUUCAUUUAGUUCUUAUUUAAUUUCUUUUUUCCUUUAUUUUUUUCUUUUGCAGAAGUUCAGGAAUCUAAAGGUUUUGAAUUUUGAACAGUGUGAAUUUUUAACAGAGAUACCUGACGUAUCUGUUCUCCUAAAUUUGGAAGAACUUUCAUUUCAUCGGUGUGGGAAUUUAAUUACAGUCCACGACUCAAUUGGUUUUCUAAAUAAACUUAAAAUAUUGGGUGCUACAAGGUGCAGGAAGCUUACCACAUUUCCACCUCUCAACUUGACCUCUCUUGAAAGACUUGAACUUUCAUGUUGUUCCAGUCUUGAGAAUUUUCCAGAAAUAUUAGGAGAGAUGAAAAACUUAUUGAAGCUUGAAUUGUCUGGCCUUCUUGGUGUAAAAGGAUUGCCAGUUUCAUUUCAAAAUCUUGUUGGACUCCAAAGUUUAGACCUGGAUGAUUGUGAAAAUUUUUUGUUACCAAGUAACAUUAUUGCCAUGAUGCCUAAACUGUCUUCAUUGAAGGCUAUAAGUUGCAAGGGGUUGCAAUGGGUAAAAUCAGAAGAGGGUGAAGAAAACGUGGGCUCAAUAGCAUGUUCAAAUGUUGAUUACAUCAUUGUCGAUUAUUGCAACCUGUAUGAUGAUUUUUUUCCAACAGGUUUCAUGCAGCUUCAUCAUGUGAAAACUUUAAGCCUAAGGGAGAAUAAUUUCACAUUCCUUCCUGAAUGCAUCAGAGAAUUGCAAUUUUUAACAACACUUGAUGUGAAUGGUUGCUAUCAUCUUCAGGAAAUUAGAGGGGUUCCACCAAACUUAAUAGAUUUCUCGGCAAUCGAUUGUAUAUCCUUGUCUUCCUCGAGUACAAGCAUGUUUUUAAAUCAGGUAUUGUCUUGUUUUUAACGUAUAUGAUUUGAUAAUGUAUUGCAUACUUGAUGUUGAUAAACUUAUGACUUCUUUAUGAAUUAUGACUAACAGGAAUUGCAUGAGGCUGGACAAACUAAGUUUGGCUUUCCAGGAGCAACUAUUCCAGAGUGGUUCAAUCACCAAAGUAGGGGAACUUCAAGUUCUUUCUGGUUUCGUAAUGAAUUCCCUGACAAUGUUCUUUGUCUUCUUGUAGCACGUGUGGAACGCAUAGGUGAUAAUGAUAUUCCCAUGCCCGUGGUGUUACUCAAUGGCGAACUUCUUAUUGAUCGUGAUCAUCACGUCCAACUAGGAAAAAAGAAAUGGGAUUAUACAUAUCUAUUUGACCUAAAAUCAGUUUUAGAUGAGCUUGUUGAUCUAUCUGAAGUGGUAUUAGAAAAGGAAUGGAACCAUGUGGAAAUUACAUACGCGGGUCAGAUAGAGACCUCACUGGUUAAAGCAACCGGAAUCCAUGUAUUCAGACAGGAUGAUAUUCGAUAUGAUGAUCCCUAUGGCAAGAGAAAAUUAGAGCAUGAUCUCAGUUCUGAAUCACAACCACUCAAUAAAAAGCCUAGGUAUAUGUGGACAAGCAAGUUUCAUUAUUAUCUUAUAUAUGAAAAUUAUACUGUUAAAUUGGAAUAAGUUAAAAAUAGCAUGUUAUCGAGGUUGUUUUGCAGGUUAUCGAGGUGGGUUGGCCCUGAAAGAAUUAUAAAUCUUCUGGGGAAUGCUGCAGAUGGAGCUUUAUUUACUAAUGCCGAGAGGAGAUAUAGCCAUAUUUCUAUGGUCUCUUGUAGGCGAUGCGGCGUGUUGGAGGAGACAUGUCUGCAUGCUCUUCGAGAUUGUCCAGAGGUGGCUGCAUUUUGGAGAAGUGUGUUACCUAAGAAAUUAGCACCAAAGUUUUUUAAUGGUGAUGAUGUGACAGUGUGGCUGGAAACAAAUUUAUCUUUUUCAGAGGCAGCUUUUUUUUGGCCAGCUUUUUUUGGGAUUGCAGUGGAUCUGUUGUGGGAAUCCCGCAACGACCUUGUGUUCUAUCAAAAUGGUCAGACUUGGGCAUAUGUACAUCUUAGGGCUACAGAUAUUGUCUUUAAGCGCUAUAAAGAUUAUAUGAGAGCCCGUGCUUCUCACAAUUUGAUGACGAGGAAUCUCUUGAAGUGGAGGAGGCCUUUGCCCCUUUCACAUGGGCAUUGGUUGUUGAGUCUAAAUGUGAGUGGUGCCUAUGAUCCCUCUUCAGGUACUGCUGCAUGCGGAGGUAUAUUCAGAGACUACCAUGAUAGAUUCGUGCUUGGGUUUUCGGUGAAGCUUGGGGAAUGUUGGUCAAAUGAUGAGGCUGAAAUAUGGGGUAUUUAUCAUGGUAUGAAGAUUGCAAGGAAGUAUGAUAUUUGGGGUUUAUUUCGUGAUAUUCUAAGGCAGCAUAGCGAUAAACAUAAUGUAUUUGACUAUAUUCGAAUAAGUCCUAAGAUUGCAAGGCAGCAUGAAUUUGGUAAAAUUGUAGUGGUAUCGGGCUCUGAGAAAGCUAUUGGGUUUGUGUCAGAUGGAUGCCCUACAUCUACAUCUACAUCUACAUCUACAUCGAUGCAGCAUUGUUUCCCAUUCUGUGAUGAGUUGAAAGCUCUAACGUCUGCUACAAAUCACUCAUACUUCAUGUACGCACCGGACUCAUACUUGAUGCACACACCGGACGAUCCUGCUGCUUAUUCCUUUGUCAAAUUCGGUUUAUCCAUGAAACAACAGGCUGCGUCAAUUUUUUCGGCUUGUCCCUCCUUUUGCCAACCUUUUGUUAGUGAAUACAUAUAAAUGUUAAAUAAAUAAGUACCUCAAUAGAAUAUUUAUUUCUUACUUUUUUGUUUAGUUUUAGAUUUG
rnacentral:lncRNA from 1 species